rnacentral:other from 1 species
GGUUCCUUUACAGCAAUCUAUACACAAAAUCAAUGAUCCAAUUCUAUGAAAAACUACCGGGAAUCUG